CCAGUCGGGCCGUAGUCCGUGGGUUAUCAACUGCACCUUGACCCUCCCAUGGACAUCUUUUGCCCGUCUC
rnacentral:sRNA from 1 species